UAUACAUGACAGCAGAAUGUAUUUCGUUUCAUUGUAUACAAAUGGAACACAACUUUUCAUUUCUCUGGUUGUAAGCGAUGCGGAGUCGCACCAUUUGUGCAAUCAUACAUAUAUUUAGGAUAAUAAUUUCUAUCUCAUUCCACCAUCUUACCUACCCCCAUGCUCCCUCCCCUCCCCUCUCUCCUUUGCCCCAUCUCAGUUCCUUCAUUCUUCCCAUACCCCCUCCCCCCCAUUAUGGAUCAGCAUCCACUUAUCAGAAAGAACAUUUGGUCUUUUUUUUUAGGGGAUUGGCUUACUAUGCUUAGCAUGAUAUUCUCUAACUCCAUCCAUUUACUUGAAAAUGCCAUAAUUUUAUUCUAUUUUAAUGCUAAGUAAUAUUCCAUUGAGUAUAUAUACCACAGUUUCUUUAUCCAUUCAUCUACUGAAGGGCAUCUAGAUUGGUUCUAUAAUUUAGCUAUUGUGAAUUGAGCUGCUAUAAACAUUGAUGUGGCUGCAUUACUAUAGUAUGCUGAUUUUAAAUCCUUUGGGUAUAGACCAUGGAAUGGGAUAGCUGUCUUGAAUGGUGGUUCCAUUCCAAGUUUUCUAAGGAAUCUCCAUACUGCUUUCCAGAUUGGUUGCAUCAAUUUGUAGUCCCACCAGCAAUGUGUGAGUGUGCCUUUUUUUAAAAAAAAUUUCUUGUUUAGUUGUAGGUGAACACAAUGCCUUUAUUUUAUUUAUUGUUAUUUUUUUUAAUGUGGUGCUGAGGAUCGAACCCAGUGCCUCACAUGUACAAGGCAAGUGUUCUACCACUGAACUACAACCACAGCCCUAUGUGAGUGUACCUUUCCCCCCACAUUCCCACCAACACUUAUUGUUGCCUGUAUUCAUGAUAAUUGCCAUUCUGACUGGACUGAGAUGAAAUCUUAGAGUAUUUUUGAUUUUCAUUUCUCUAAUUGCUACAGAUGUUGAACAUUUUUUUCAUAUACUUGUUGAUCGAUUGUAUAUCUUCUGAGAAGUGUCUGUUGAGUUUCUUAGUCCAUUUAUUGAUUGGGUUAUUUUUUUUUU
rnacentral:lncRNA from 1 species